UACGUAGGGACCGAGCGUUGUCCGGAAUCAUUGGGCGUAAAGAGCGUGUAGGCGGCCUUUUAAGUCCUGCGUGAAAUCCUGCGGCUCAACCGCAGACGGUCGUGGGAAACUGGAAGGCUAGAGUGCGGGAGAGGAGAGUGGAAUUCCCGGUGUAGCGGUGAAAUGCGCAGAUAUCGGGAAGAACACCCGUGGCGAAGGCGGCUCUCUGGAACGCAACUGACGCUGAGACGCGAAAGCGUGGGGAGCAAACAGGGAUUAAGAAA
rnacentral:rRNA from 1 species